GGGGCUUAGUGUAGGCGAGCCUCUACUAGUGUGAUCACCCUGCGAGGAAGAUCACGCUGGAGUUCUAGAGCUAGAAGUCAUCAAGAUCAAGGUAGGAUCCCGGUGGUGAUCUUGUGAUGUACGAUCAUUCAUGGUAAAGUAAUAGAUGUGCUCAUGUUCAUAGCGAUCUAAGUAUCUCCUUCAUUGAUUUUAUGCUUUAUCGGGUUUGCUUGCUUUUCAAUCUAUCGAUCGAUGAUAGAUUGCCUAGGGUGUUCUUAUGGUUGUGGUGACUAGAUUUGUAUGCCUGAUCUACCGAUGAGUAUGACAUGUUCUUAUGAUCAUGCCCUUAACCUGCUUGCGCUGAUAGAGGUGAUCGUGGUAGAAUCUUUCUUGUGUAAGGUGGGGGGUUUCGGGAUCCGGAAUGGAGGUGUAGAUUUAAAAAUGCUUUUUACUAAGAUCAUAUCUGUGUUGCUUUGCUAUCCAUGCUCAGAAUUACAACAUAUGCAUAGUCUAGGUUGCUCUAGAUUGAUUACCUUUCCUCUAUAUGUUAUCUGUCUAUACAUGCUUAGUAGAUUGGAUCUGAAUUUUUCAUAAAUACCAAGUUAAUACUAACAAUGCUAGUUGAAAUAGAUCUUGUGCUAUAAAUUCCAUAGAUUGAUAAACCUUGGGGGAAUACUCUGAGGGAAGAGCUACAACUGAUCCGUACGCUUGCGGUUCAUAAAUUAGCAUGCUAAUAGCAG
rnacentral:lncRNA from 1 species